rnacentral:rRNA from 1 species
GGUUAAGCGACUAAGCGUACACGGUGGAUGCCCUGGCAGUCAGAGGCGAUGAAGGACGUGCUAAUCUGCGAUAAGCGUCGGUAAGGUGAUAUGAACCGUUAUAACCGGCGAUUUCCGAAUGGGGAAACCCAGUGUGAUUCGUCACACUAUCAUUAACUGAAUCCAUAGGUUAAUGAGGCGAACCGGGGGAACUGAAACAUCUAAGUACCCCGAGGAAAAGAAAUCAACCGAGAUUCCCCCAGUAGCGGCGAGCGAACGGGGAGCAGCCCAGAGCCUGAAUCAGUGUGUGUGUUAGUGGAAGCGUCUGGAAAGGCGUGCGAUACAGGGUGACAGCCCCGUACACAAAAAUGCACAUACUGUGAGCUCGAUGAGUAGGGCGGGACACGUGGUAUCCUGUCUGAAUAUGGGGGACCAUCCUCCAAGGCUAAAUACUCCUGACUGACCGAUAGUGAACCAGUACCGUGAGGGAAAGGCGAAAAGAACCCCGGCGAGGGGAGUGAAAAAGAACCUGAAACCGUGUACGUACAAGCAGUGGGAGCACGCUUAGGCGUGUGACUGCGUACCUUUUGUAUAAUGGGUCAGCGACUUAUAUUCUGUAGCAAGGUUAACCGAAUAGGGGAGCCGAAGGGAAACCGAGUCUUAACUGGGCGUUAAGUUGCAGGGUAUAGACCCGAAACCCGGUGAUCUAGCCAUGGGCAGGUUGAAGGUUGGGUAACACUAACUGGAGGACCGAACCGACUAAUGUUGAAAAAUUAGCGGAUGACUUGUGGCUGGGGGUGAAAGGCCAAUCAAACCGGGAGAUAGCUGGUUCUCCCCGAAAGCUAUUUAGGUAGCGCCUCGUGAAUUCAUCUCCGGGGGUAGAGCACUGUUUCGGCAAGGGGGUCAUCCCGACUUACCAACCCGAUGCAAACUGCGAAUACCGGAGAAUGUUAUCACGGGAGACACACGGCGGGUGCUAACGUCCGUCGUGAAGAGGGAAACAACCCAGACCGCCAGCUAAGGUCCCAAAGUCAUGGUUAAGUGGGAAACGAUGUGGGAAGGCCCAGACAGCCAGGAUGUUGGCUUAGAAGCAGCCAUCAUUUAAAGAAAGCGUAAUAGCUCACUGGUCGAGUCGGCCUGCGCGGAAGAUGUAACGGGGCUAAACCAUGCACCGAAGCUGCGGCAGCGACGCUUAUGCGUUGUUGGGUAGGGGAGCGUUCUGUAAGCCUGUGAAGGUGUGCUGUGAGGUAUGCUGGAGGUAUCAGAAGUGCGAAUGCUGACAUAAGUAACGAUAAAGCGGGUGAAAAGCCCGCUCGCCGGAAGACCAAGGGUUCCUGUCCAACGUUAAUCGGGGCAGGGUGAGUCGACCCCUAAGGCGAGGCCGAAAGGCGUAGUCGAUGGGAAACAGGUUAAUAUUCCUGUACUUGGUGUUACUGCGAAGGGGGGACGGAGAAGGCUAUGUUGGCCGGGCGACGGUUGUCCCGGUUUAAGCGUGUAGGCUGGUUUUCCAGGCAAAUCCGGAAAAUCAAGGCCGAGGCGUGAUGACGAGGCACUACGGUGCUGAAGCAACAAAUGCCCUGCUUCCAGGAAAAGCCUCUAAGCAUCAGGUAACAUCAAAUCGUACCCCAAACCGACACAGGUGGUCAGGUAGAGAAUACCAAGGCGCUUGAGAGAACUCGGGUGAAGGAACUAGGCAAAAUGGUGCCGUAACUUCGGGAGAAGGCACGCUGAUACGUAGGUGAAGCGACUUGCUCGUGGAGCUGAAAUCAGUCGAAGAUACCAGCUGGCUGCAACUGUUUAUUAAAAACACAGCACUGUGCAAACACGAAAGUGGACGUAUACGGUGUGACGCCUGCCCGGUGCCGGAAGGUUAAUUGAUGGGGUUAGCGCAAGCGAAGCUCUUGAUCGAAGCCCCGGUAAACGGCGGCCGUAACUAUAACGGUCCUAAGGUAGCGAAAUUCCUUGUCGGGUAAGUUCCGACCUGCACGAAUGGCGUAAUGAUGGCCAGGCUGUCUCCACCCGAGACUCAGUGAAAUUGAACUCGCUGUGAAGAUGCAGUGUACCCGCGGCAAGACGGAAAGACCCCGUGAACCUUUACUAUAGCUUGACACUGAACAUUGAGCCUUGAUGUGUAGGAUAGGUGGGAGGCUUUGAAGUGUGGACGCCAGUCUGCAUGGAGCCGACCUUGAAAUACCACCCUUUAAUGUUUGAUGUUCUAACGUGGACCCGUGAUCCGGGUUGCGGACAGUGUCUGGUGGGUAGUUUGACUGGGGCGGUCUCCUCCUAAAGAGUAACGGAGGAGCACGAAGGUUGGCUAAUCCUGGUCGGACAUCAGGAGGUUAGUGCAAUGGCAUAAGCCAGCUUGACUGCGAGCGUGACGGCGCGAGCAGGUGCGAAAGCAGGUCAUAGUGAUCCGGUGGUUCUGAAUGGAAGGGCCAUCGCUCAACGGAUAAAAGGUACUCCGGGGAUAACAGGCUGAUACCGCCCAAGAGUUCAUAUCGACGGCGGUGUUUGGCACCUCGAUGUCGGCUCAUCACAUCCUGGGGCUGAAGUAGGUCCCAAGGGUAUGGCUGUUCGCCAUUUAAAGUGGUACGCGAGCUGGGUUUAGAACGUCGUGAGACAGUUCGGUCCCUAUCUGCCGUGGGCGCUGGAGAACUGAGGGGGCUGCUCCUAGUACGAGAGGACCGGAGUGGACGCAUCACUGGUGUUCGGGUUGUCAUGCCAAUGGCACUGCCCGGUAGCUAAAUGCGGAAGAGAUAAGUGCUGAAAGCAUCUAAGCACGAAACUUGCCCCGAGAUGAGUUCUCCCUGACCCUUUAAGGGUCCUGAAGGAACGUUGAAGACGACGACGUUGAUAGGCCGGGUGUGUAAGCGCAGCGAUGCGUUGAGCUAACCGGUACUAAUGAACCGUGAGGCUUAACCUU